ensembl:snoRNA
UGGACCAAUAUUGAUGACUGGUCACCAUUAUUAAUAAAUCCCAGAUAAUGAAUAAUAUGUGUUUGAAACUGAGAGGUCCAA